rnacentral:rRNA from 1 species
CCUACGGGAGGCAGCAGUGGGGAAUAUUGGUCAAUGGACGAGAGUCUGAACCAGCCACGUAGCGUGAAGGAUGAAUGCCCUAGGGGUUGUAAACUUCUUUUAUAAAGGAAUAAAACGAGGCACGUGUGCCUUUUUGCAUGUACUUUAUGAAUAAGGAUCGGCUAACUCCGUGCCAGCAGCCGCGGUAAUACGGAGGAUCCGAGCGUUAUCCGGAUUUAUUGGGUUUAAAGGGAGCGUAGAUGGGUUGUUAAGUCAGUUGUGAAAGUUGGCGGCUUAACCGUAAAAUUGCAAUUGAUACUGGCAGGCUGGAGUACAGUUGAGGUAAGCGGAAUUCGUGGUGUAGCGGUGAAAUGCUUAGAUAUCACGAAGAACUCCGAUUGCGAAGGCAGCUUACUAAACUGCCACUGACAUUGAUGCUCGAAAGUGUGGGUAUCAAACAGGAUUAGAUACCCUAGUAGUC